rnacentral:RNase_P_RNA from 1 species
AAACAGGCAGAAUGUGGCUGCCCGCCAUGGAUUUAGUGGCGGGAGGAAAGUCCGGGCUCCGGAGGAUAACGUAACGGGUAAUCCCCGUCCUUAACUGUUAAUAAAAUGGUUAAGAGGAUACUCCCUCGGCGUUGGCUUAAAAAAGCCGUGCCUCGGGAUCAUUGCCUAAAGAUAUAAGAUUCGGGCAAUGAGAGCCACAGAGACGAGUAGUUCCGCAGCCUGGAAGGUGCGGGACGAGGUGAAACGCGGCAAUCUCUACGUGGAGCAAGGUAGAAUAGGAGAUGAGCGCUGAUCCAGCGCGUUUCCCGUUUUAAGCGGGGAGCAAUCUCGGGUAAACUGCUAAAGUUACCGUGGUAACGCGGGAAUUGAGAGGAAUAGCCACUAAUCGAUGCGCGAAUUCGCAUCAAGACAGAACCCGGCUUAUUCUGCCUGUUUUAAA